CGGGGCGCGGGAGGGCUGCGGGAGGGCUGCGGUCCGUGUCGGCAGCUGCCGUGGCACCGAGCCCAGCGUAGGUGUGCGAGGCGGGGCGGCUUUCCCCGCGCGGUGCGUGGGGUAUGCACAUGGCUCGAGUGCCGUAAUAAGAGAGUAGCUUUGGCAGUGUAAGUUAACCCCUUCUUGAAACAACUUGUUUUUGGAAGACACGCUCUAUUGAGGUGUGCGGGCGGAUCACGCUGGUUUUGCUUCGUUUGUAUUACAUUAUUUGCGAGCUAAGGAUAGACAAAAGGCCUUGCCAAUGCUGCCAGUGGGCUGGGCAGAAGUCUGCUAGCUCCUAAAAAAAAUUAUAUACUUUAUUAUCAUCUGACCGUUGUCAUAAAAAACCCUCAAACUCUCAAAAACCCAACCCAAAGCAAAACAAGAAAAUGCUACUCCUUUCAAUGCCCCCCCGAUUGCUGUCAGCUGCAAGCAGUCAUCAAUACAUUCAGUGCUUGUGCGUGAAAGAUUACAGCCUUGUUGGCAGACAGAAGCAGCUAAACCAGCACAAAAAUCCCAAAGUUCAGGAGUGAACAGUGUCUUAAGAAUGCAUCCCUCUAGUGCUGAACAGCAUGGGCUUUUGGAACGGUGGAUCCUCGUUCAGCUGCACUGUGGCCAGGUGAAAGGGGUGCCUGGCUGCACCCCAGUCAUCAUUCCAGCAGAAGCUGCAGUAACUGCAGUGUUGAGGUUGGAAAGGUUAGCCUAACAACCAGACUGGUUAGCAGCUUUCCCAAACCUAGAAAAAAAAAAAUUCAAACAUAUUUGAGUAUAAGAACAUCUGGUUUAUGGAAAAUGUAAGGAUUCAUUGGAUUAGUUCUUAUUUAAGUUGAUUUACUCCACCAAGAUACAAUAGGAAGGAGUAGUGAUUCUUCUGAGAUUUUAUAUAUUUGGCAAGAAAAAAAUUACUUUAGGUAAGCAAGCAAGUGAAAACAGUGCCAAGCUAGCUUCCCUGCAGACUUAAAAUAUUAUUUUUUUAAUGAUUUAGCAGUUAUGAAAAUGCCAGCAUUAGUCUUAAAAUACUUUUAAGUGCCAAAAAAUAUGCAAAAGUCUUGCCAAAUAAUACAUGCACUCUCUUCAGGUAAACACUGAACAGGAAGAACUUUGAAAAAUGGAAUACUUAGAUAUUUCUAAAUUGUACUGCUACAUAAAGAAUCUUUUAUGAAGUAAGUCCUGCAUUAUCUCUUCCCUUAGAGACAGAUUGUCACCUGGCUUGUAAGUUGCACUUUGAAGUGAAUACAUAUCCAUGCUCACUAUAAUAUGAUUUGCAUUCACCAUCCAUAGGGCUCCCUAAUUUUCAGGUGAAUCUAGACCACAGCUGCCAAGCAUUUUUUUCCUCUGGUUUAUUGUUGUUGAACAACAUGCAUGAACUGUAUGCAAUUACACUAUUACUGUCUGCCAGUCCACCUUUAUAAUCUUGACUUUUAUCAAAAAGUAUAGUUAGCACUGCUUUGAUGUCUGGUAACAGUGACCCUGCCAGUAAAGAUAGGGAUUAGUAUCAAAUGCUUAUGAAUGGGGAUGAAUAAUAAUUACCAUUUAAUUGAAAGGGGGAAUCAAUUAAAUUCAAUUAUGUUCAUUUGCAUGAAGACAUCUGAGCAUAUUUUUUUUAAUGUAUUUAGAGGACUACCUGUUUUUUGUGCUUUUUUUUUGUGUUUUUUGAAUUGUGAUUGGUUUGAAUUUGCUUAAAAUUGAACUUUUAGCAAAAUAGA
ensembl:lncRNA